rnacentral:rRNA from 1 species
UACGUAGGGAGCAAGCGUUGUCCGGAAUCAUUGGGCGUAAAGCGCGCGUAGGUGGCCCUGUAAGUCCGUUGUGAAAGUCAAAGGCUCAACCUUUGAAAGCCGAUGGAUACUGCAGGACUAGAGUACGGAAGAGGCGAGUGGAAUUCCUGGUGUAGCGGUGGAAUGCGCAGAUAUCAGGAGGAACACCAAUAGCGAAGGCAGCUCGCUGGGACGUACUGACACUGAGGCGCGGAAAGCGUGGGGAGCGAACAGG